rnacentral:rRNA from 1 species
AACGAACGCUGGCGGCGCGUCUUAAGCAUGCAAGUCGAACGGCAAGAGAGGAGCUUGCUUCUCUCCUAGAGUGGCGGACUGGUGAGGAACACGUGGGUAAUCUACCCUUUAGAUGGGGAUAGCUGCUAGAAAUAGCAGGUAAUACCGAAUACACUCGGCAUAUCACAAGAGGUGUUGAGGAAAGGAAGCUACGGCUUCGCUUGAGGAUGAGCUUGCGUCCCAUUAGCUAGUUGGUGAGGUAAAGGCCCACCAAGGCGACGAUGGGUAUCCGGCCUGAGAGGGUGAACAGACACAUUGGGACUGAGAUACGGCCCAAACUCCUACGGGAGGCAGCAGCUAAGAAUAUUCCGCGAUGCACGGAAGUCUGACGGAGCGACGCCGCGUGGAUGAAGAAGGCUGAAAAGUUGUAAACUCCUUUUGUUGAUGAAGAAUAAGGGUGAGAAGGAAUGCUCAUCUGAUGACGGUAAUCGACGAAUAAGCCCCGGCUAAUUACGUG